rnacentral:rRNA from 1 species
CACGUAGGGGGCGAGCGUUGUCCGGAUUUAUUGGGCGUAAAGAGCUCGUGGGCGGUUUCGUAAGUCGGAUGUGAAAACUCCAGGCUCAACUUGGAGACGCCAUUCGAUACUGCGAUGACUUGAGUCCGGUAGGGGAGUGUGGAAUUCCUGGUGUAGCGGUGAAAUGCGCAGAUAUCAGGAGGAACACCGGCGGCGAAGGCGGAUCUCUGGGCCAUUACUGACGCUGAGGAGCGAAAGCGUGGGGAGCGAACAGG